UCCGUAGGCGGGCAAUUAAGUCAGAGGUGAAAUCCCACAGCUCAACUGUGGAACUGCCUUUGAUACUGGUUGUCUUGAGUUAUAGUGAAGUAGAUAGAAUAUGUAGUGUAGCGGUGAAAUGCAUAGAUAUUACAUAGAAUACCGAUUGCGAAGGCAGCCUACCAACUGUACACUGACGCUAAUGGACGAAAGCGUGGGGAGCGAACAGGAUUAGAUACCCUGAGUCC
rnacentral:rRNA from 1 species